GGCUCAGGACGAACGCUGGCGGCGUGCCUAAUACAUGCAAGUCGAACGGUCUUUCUAUGGAAGCUUGCUUCCACUGAGAAGAUAGUGGCGAACGGGUGAGUAACACGUGGGUAACCUGCCCAUAAGAGGGGGAUAACAUCCGGAAACGGGUGCUAAUACCGCAUAGUUUUCUUGAUCGCAUGAUCGGGAAAGGAAAGACGGCCUUUGUGCUGUCGCUUAUGGAUGGACCCGCGGCGUAUUAGUUAGUUGGUGAGGUAACGGCUCACCAAGACGAUGAUACGUAGCCGACCUGAGAGGGUGAUCGGCCACAUUGGGACUGAGACACGGCCCAAACUCCUACGGGAGGCAGCAGUAGGGAAUCUUCCGCAAUGGACGAAAGUCUGACGGAGCAACGCCGCGUGAGUGAAAGAAGGUUUUCGGAUCGUAAAACUCUGUUGUCAGAGAAGAACAAGUUGGAGAGUAACUGCUCCAGCCUUGACGGUAUCUGACCAGAAAGCCACGGCUAACUACGUGCCAGCCGCGGC
rnacentral:rRNA from 1 species